UGAAAAUUGUAAUUUAGUUAGAUUUUAAUUUAUUGAAAAUUGUAGUUUAGUUAGAUUGUAAUUUAUUGCAAAUUGUAGUUUAGCUGGAUUUUAAUUUAUUGCAAAUUGUAGUUUAGUUAGACUUUAAUUUAUUGCAAAUUAUAAUUUAGUUGAGAGAUUUUAGUUCAUUGAAAGUUAUAGUUUAAUUAGUUUAUAAUUUAUUGAAAGUUGUAGUUUAGUUAGAUUUUAAUUAAUUAAAAAUCGAAUAUUAAUAUAUAUAAACUGAAGCAAAAAUAAGCAACAAGGAUAUUAAAUGUAUGUCAUGGGAAAAUUAUUUGGCUUGUGAUGGUUUUAGUUGUCUUUUAGAUAAAUAUGUAAUACAGCUGUUUGUAAUUAAAUGUUUUAUUUGUUACUAACUAAUUAACAUUUGAUGUUUUUCAAUGAAAUAUACAUGUAGAAGUACCUCAUUUGUAAAAGGGUGAAUUUCAAGUGCAAAACUUGUAUAUUGGUGCUACAAUUAUUAUUUCUUAAUAACAAUUAACAACAGUUAUGACAUUAUUCCUGUUUUCUAUAACAGGUUCACUCAGAACCAAUAUAUAACAGUUCCGAACAGUUAUUUCUGGAACCUAUUCAACCCCUAGUUUUAAGAAGGAAAUAAAAAGGGGUGACUUUAUACUACUUGGCUGACCAAAUGCGUUCUUAUACUACUGAACAGUUCACAAACUGUUAAAAUCAUUUUUCCUGUGUACUCCUUUCAUAUGUCUCUUAAUUCCCUCAGUGUCUUUUAACUGAAUGAAAUUCUGCAACUGAUUAAGUAUGCAAGUACUCAACUACCAAUAGAAAAUUAGUUUAACAGAUGGUGAAACAGGUCUCGACGUUUCCAGUUGAGAACAAGACUGAAUAUUAAAAUUCAGAAAUCUACUAACUCAGUUAAGUAAUUUAUUCAUCUACCUCAACUUAUUCAGAAACUUAAUGUAAACUUUCUACAGGUAAACAGGACAAAUUCCCAAUUCUGCGAAUACUUUAUAAAUUUAUAAAAUCUGGUCUCCAAUGGAAACAUAUAACUGAUAAAUAUAUCAAAAUACUAAAAGACAAGAGCGUAAACAGGACAAAUUCCCAAUUCUGCGAAUACUUUAUAAACAUAUAAAAUCUAGUCUCCAAUGGAAACAUCAUACAAUAACUGAUAUAUUAAAAAAAACUAAAAGACAAGAGCGCAACUUCACAUACAUCAAGAACCAAACUACAUGUGGUCAUGCAGCAAACGUCACAAUGGGAAACGUUGGACGAAUAAAAAUAGCAGGUGGCGCUGUAAUUGGGCAUGAAACAGCUGUAUUUUCCAUGGAUAAGUCCGUAAAAUAACUGGAGUGGAAGGAGGCUCGAUCUCGCGGUACACAGGGAUACCACAGGAGCACGCGGAGGAUGCUUUAUGGGGUCCCUCCUUCGAAUUGAUGGUAUGCCUUGUUACCGGGAAGAACCGUGCUCCCCCGGGUAAUAUCGUAUACAAUUAUGUCCACCGAAGGGACGGCAUGCAUUAUGGAUGCCGGUAAAUCAUGUCGCAGGCUUGGUUAACUCUGCAAAUGAUCUGGUGAAUCACGGUGCUCGCUGACUCUCGCCGGAUAACCUCGGAUUUCAAAGGAGACUGGAGAUUCGUGAGGAAUAAACCAACUGUGAAUGCUUCCGGACGUUACAAUCUUUUCUAUCGUUUUUCCUUUCGUUCCACGAUGUUCGCUAAUUCAUCCCCGUGUGCCAAGUGAUCCUAUAGUACUUCUCCCGUUCAGAAUGCCGGCACAGUGUUCCUCAGUGACCAAUGAUAUUGACUGCCCAACGGAAACAUCUCCAUUCUUAUAUUUAUAUUGCUAUCGUUUUCACGUGGACGCAAAUUACAGGACUCCUGUGUUCAGGGAGUCCCAUUGAAACCAGGCGGAAAAGUUGGAUGCUCACAAGUUGGAGAACACAAGAAUUUCAAGCUUUCCAACAAGCUUUCCAAAGAAGCAACGCCGCUCGAAGCGUUAAGCGACUGAUCGUUGGAAGAAUAUUCACAUUUCUUGAUCAAUUGACAUGCACCUACUCGUCAGUGACUGAACAACACUGUUCCGGCGAUCACGACAACAGGCUUUAAACACCGUGAUGUUAAAAUUUAAUAUUGCACAACAUCGAUAACACUUCGAGUUUGUCUCAGGGAAAAGUUUGUGAUCCACGAUAAUUACAAUAGAUGGAAUUAUCAAUGUCUUUUUUCCUUGUAUUCUUUGUUUUCCUCAGCCGCGGUGACCGAACGCUGAUGAUCUGGUGUAUUUAGCCAAUAAUUUCAAUAAUUUAUAAUACUCUCCUGGUUAAAACAGCCAGGCGCAAUUCUUGACAAUUCCACAAGUCAUUGGAGCAACGUUCCCGAUUAAAUUAACGUUAAUUAAUUAAAACUCGCCGCGUCAAUAUCCUGCGUCUCUGAAAAUAUAUUAUAAUUCACCGAUAUACAUCGUAGAGAUCAUAGUAAUUAACUCAAAGAAUACUAAUUCUACUCCGUGUACAUAUUGUACACACAUACACUACAACAGUGUAUUGUAUGUGUAUAUAUAUACAUAAAUAUGUACAAGUGUAUGCAUACCAACUAAUGUAACGUUAACGAGUAAAACUAGUUUAAUAUCGUUAGUGACCUUAAUUAAUAACUACGUCGAUUAACCGCUAAGUCGCUAUUCGUAUAUUUAUAGGUUAACCGGAACGUUGCUAACAGCCGGGGAAAUUGUCGAAUACUAUAAUAAUCCUUCGCGUGUUCACCGAUCAUGGAAAAAUAUGGAAAUGUUAAUAACAAUGUAGCCAUCAGCGUUGUCAUCCGCAACGUAUACAUAAGUAUACAUAUAUAUAUAUAUAUAUAUACAUAAGUAUAUACAUAUACGUAUAUAACUAACAUUAUUAUAUUAUUAUGCUUAGCAAAU